UUGAGUUUUGUGCCUCCUACCACUUUUAGCUAAAAAAAUUUAUAUGAUUAUAUAAGAAUUUGAAACAAAAAUCAAUAAUAAAAGUCAACAUGUAUGUAAAUUAAAGUUAACAUUACUUUGAAUUUCUACAGGUUCGUCAAUUGUAUUUAGAACAUUUGAAGAUCCAAUAGCAGUUUGUUGAUCACUAUAAUAAGCCCAUUUCGCCCGGGCCCGUUAGAAAAAAAUAGAAAUUAAAAAAACAAAAAAAAAAUAAAAAUAAAAACCAAUAAGAGUUUAUCAUCAAAGUCCAUUUACAAAUCACUUAAAACCCAACAAUAAAAGCCAAAUAAACCCGACCCAAACAUUAAACCCAAAUCUCAUCCCAAAUGAAUUAACACCCCAAUAAGCCCAAUCCUAGAAUUAGUCCAAAUGACCCGGGCAGGUGAAGCCUUUGGAAACCCCAGGUCACCAAACUGUUACUCACGCGCACAGCAACCUCCCCACGAGCGACCUUCCUCCGUACAGUCGAACUUGCGAGAAGAAGCAGACUAACAGAAUAUACGGCAAAUUAUAGUAAGGAAAUUUGAUUUUCCUAUUUAUUUUAUUCUUAUUUUUCGGAUAUGAAAGCCACCGAAUGUAAUCUGUUAAAACGUACGCAUUCUUAAUAUCAGAAAAGGCAUUUCAAAAGAAAUUUUUAAAGCUGAUUUUCUAUUUUCUAGUUUCUUUAAUUUUCCAUUUACACUUCUCAUUUUCCUUUUUUGAUAUUUCGCCAUUACAUUUGAAAACAAAAGAGAAAGGGAAAGGCAAAGCCUUACCCAACGAAUCUGCCAUAGAUUCCUCUUUGCUUCGUUGAAAUUGAAGUUGAAAAAGGGAUCUCAAGGCUAUAAACCAUCCCUUCAAGGCUCGAAUAUGCCGGUCAUCGAUUUUGGUGGUAGAUCGGUGUUGGAGCAAAAUAGGGGUUAGGGUUCGGCUGCAAAGGAAAAGGGGAGAGGGUUGAUUUUCUUAUUUUCGUUCCUAAAUGGCUGAGUGUGGUCGUUCUAGGUUUUUUUUAGUGUUAAUUAUGUGUAUAAAACGGAACUGUUUAGGGCCUGUGUCAAUGGCCCCAAAACAGAGCCGUUUAAGCCGACCCACACCAAUCCGAC
rnacentral:lncRNA from 1 species